rnacentral:rRNA from 1 species
AGCGAACGCUGGCGGUAGGCCUAACACAUGCAAGUCGAACGGCAGCACAGUAAGAGCUUGCUCUUACGGGUGGCGAGUGGCGGACGGGUGAGGAAUACAUCGGAAUCUACUUUUUCGUGGGGGAUAACGUAGGGAAACUUACGCUAAUACCGCAUACGACCUACGGGUGAAAGCAGGGGAUCUUCGGACCUUGCGCGAUUGAAUGAGCCGAUGUCGGAUUAGCUAGUUGGCGGGGUAAAGGCCCACCAAGGCGACGAUCCGUAGCUGGUCUGAGAGGAUGAUCAGCCACACUGGAACUGAGACACGGUCCAGACUCCUACGGGAGGCAGCAGGGGGGAAUAUUGGACAAUGGGCGCAAGCCUGAUCCAGCCAUACCGCGUGGGUGAAGAAGGCCUUCGGGUUGUAAAGCCCUUUUGUUGGGAAAGAAAAGCAGCAGGUUAAUACCCCGCUGUUCUGACGGUACCCAAAGAAUAAGCACCGGCUAACUUCGU